rnacentral:rRNA from 1 species
UGGGGAAUUUUGGACGAAUUGGGCGAAAGCCUGAUCCAGCAAUGCCGCGUGUGUGAAGAAGGCCUUCGGGUUGUAAAGCACUUUUGUCCGGAAAGAAAUCCUUGGCUCUAAUACAGUCGGGGGAUGACGGUACCGGAAGAAUAAGCACCGGCUAACUACGUGCCAGCAGCCGCGGUAAUACGUAGGGUGCAAGCGUUAAUCGGAAUUACUGGGCGUAAAGCGUGCGCAGGCGGUUUGCUAAGACCGAUGUGAAAUCCCCGGGCUCAACCUGGGAACUGCAUUGGUGACUGGCAGGCUAGAGUAUGGCAGAGGGGGGUGAGAAUUCCACGUGUAGCAGUGAAAUGCGUAGAGAUGUGGAGGAAUACCGAUGGCGAAGGCAGCCCCCUGGGCCAAUACUGACGCUCAUGCACGAAAGCGUGGGGAGCAAACAGGAUUAGAUACCCUGGUAGUCCACGCCCUAAA